AUGAACGCUGGCGGCGUGCCUAAUACAUGCACGUCGAGCGAACAGACGAGGAGCUUGCUCCUCUGACGUUAGCGGCGGACGGGUGAGUAACACGUGGAGAACCUACCUAUAAGACUGGGAUAACUUCGGGAAACCGGAGCUAAUACCGGAUAAUAUAUUGAACCGCAUGGUUCAAUAGUGAAAGACGGUUUUGCUGUCACUUAUAGAUGGAUCCGCGCCGCAUUAGCUAGUUGGUAAGGUAACGGCUUACCAAGGCAACGAUGCGUAGCCGACCUGAGAGGGUGAUCGGCCACACUGGAACUGAGACACGGUCCAGACUCCUACGGGAGGCAGCAGUAGGGAAUCUUCCGCAAUGGGCGAAAGCCUGACGGAGCACCGCCGCGUGAGUGAUGAAGGUCUUCGGAUCGUAAAACUCUGUUAUUAGGGAAGAACAAAUGUGUAAGUAACUAUGCCCGUCUUGACGGUACCUAAUCAGAAAGCCACGGCUAACUACGUG
rnacentral:rRNA from 1 species